UUCAGUCGCUUUAUGAUCUGUAAACGGCAUACCUAGUAUUGUUAUGAUGGUGCAUAACUUUUUUUGGCUAAAAAAAUAUAUAAGUGUAUUGUUAUCAAUAUUUACAAUGCGAUACAUCGAAUACAUCUGAUGCUUUGAAGAGGUAUUGAGGUGACAGUUAUUUAAAAAAAUAUUAAUAUACUCACCUAACCUAACCGAAGAAUAUAUAUAAUAUUAAUAACAGGUUAUUUCGAUAGCUCCGGCGCUGCGGGAAAUGCAGCCCCCACCCGCACCGCAAAGGCAGGCAUAAAAUGCCUGUGCUUUGGAACGCAAGGAUGGAGGGGCUGCUCUUCGUCCGCACCUCCGAUUUUUUUACAUACAUUCUAGGGGUAAGGCAGACAAGACCACGUGGAUAGUGGGGUGCUCUGAUUCGGUUUUGGGUACUAUUUUUUUCGUCAAAUAAGGUCAACACUAGUUAUGGUGCAGAGAACUCAUGACGAAGUCAUAAAAAAAAAUCAGCCUCAAAAUCACUGGUGGCGCGAUACGGAAUAUUAUCCCCAAAAUAUUAGGUAUAUUUUUUUAUUUAUUCACACUUCGUUUCAAUAAAAAUAAAAGAAACAAAUAAGUAACACAGUAUAUAGAUAAACAUUAAAAGGGAUGUAACGGGCGGCCUUAUCUCUAAUAAGCGAUCGAUCGAUCUCUUCCAGGCAACCGUAGUAACAGAAAGUGCAGAACCAAAUGAUUCAUGAACAGCGAAUAGCGAUGCAAUACAAAAGAAAAGGAAACACAGGAAUUACGCAAGCCACGAUUGAUCAUGAUAGGAUAAGAAAUUUUGAGUCCCCUGUUAUACAAUGCAUAUCUUUAUGGCAUAAAUAGUAAGAUUAAAGAUUCUAAUUACCUUA